UAGGUUUAACAAUAACAUUUUCAUCCUUCACACAAUUCAAUAAAAUUUCAUGGGUUUAACCUAAACAUUUUCAGCAUUCACAUAAUUCAAUUAAAUUUCAUGGGUUUAACAUCAACAAUUUCAUCAUUCCUAUAUUUCAAUUUUUCUUCAAGUGUUUAACAACAACAUUUUCAUCAUUCACACAAUUCAAUCAAACUACAUAGGUUUAACAAUAACAUUUUCAUCCUUCACACAAUUCAAUAAAAUUUCAUGGGUUUAACCUAAACAUUUUCAUCAUUCACAGAAUUCAAUCAAAUUUCAU
rnacentral:lncRNA from 1 species